rnacentral:rRNA from 1 species
GAUGAACGCUAGCGAUAGGCUUAACACAUGCAAGUCGAGGGGCAUCACGAAUUAGCAAUAGUUUGGUGGCGACCGGCGCACGGGUGCGUAACACGUAUACAACCUACCUUCAAUUGGGGAAUAACCUGGAGAAAUUUGGACUAAUACCCCAUAGUAAACGGAAGAGGCAUCUUUUUUGUUUUAAAGAUUUAUUGAUUGGAGAUGGGUAUGCGUAGGAUUAGCUAGUUGGUAAGGUAACGGCUUACCAAGGCGACGAUCCUUAGGGGUUCUGAGAGGAAGGUCCCCCACACUGGUACUGAGACACGGACCAGACUCCUACGGGAGGCAGCAGUGAGGAAUAUUGGUCAAUGGUCGAGAGACUGAACCAGCCAAGUCGCGUGAAGGAAGACGGCUCUAUGAGUUGUAAACUUCUUUUGUACAGGAGUAAAGUGAGACACGUGUGUUUUAUUGCAAGU